GAAAUAUAUUACAUCAACUUAAGAUGAAUACCUCGGUACUCAACAGAAAACACUCAACAGAAAACAGUAGUAAAAUAUAUGUACUGAUUUUAACAAGAAUGAAAUCACUGUUAGGAGUGUGUUGGAACACUAAUAAUCUGCUACUGUGCUCAAUCAGAGGAGCAAGUACUCAUGGAGUAGCAAAUAAAGCAACGCCUGCCGGUUGCCUAAAUUUCCACCACAUGCACAUGGCCACGCAAUCCAUGUUAGAUGAAGCCAGCUUGGUCAUGCGAAGAGAUAAGGCAGAGGUACCACGGAUCAAAAAUCCCCAGCGCCUUCCAUCCCCACUCCACGCGACCAAGACAGGCGGAGACGACUACGGCCGGUCGGCUACUUCACCGGCGGCGAGAAAAACUCCCGCCGCGCUCUUCCUCGUCCGAGGAUCCUCCAGGGAGCAGAGUGCCCGGCGCGACGCCGUUGGAGGCGCCGAUCGCGAGCCCGAGUGCCGCGGGGCUCCGCGUGCCGGAGCGGCCGCUCGACGGUGGACUCGCCAGCGAGACGCCGAGGGCCAAGAGGCGGUGACGAACCCCAGAGCGCGGCGAAAACUGAGGGGUGGCCAGCGUCGGGGACGGCAGGCGCGGCGUCGGCGUCGGCGUCGACAACCACGUGGUUGGAGGAGCCGCCCGCGCCCAAACCAAAGACGAAGGAGGAUGCGCCGGUCGUCGCCGAGACGAAGGCCAGUGCGUGGCUGGUGGCGACCUCAACGACCGCGGGGGUCGGAGAUGGCAGGCGCGGCGGCACGAUGGCGUCGCUUGGGACGUGCGCCACCGACGGCAACCUCUGGAGCGCUGUGGAACCAAGGGCUGCGACAGGCGAGGCAGCGUUUGCCUGGAGCCGACAGGCCCAGAUGGAGGCCACCACGGGGGACCUCACCGGGGCCGAUGGCCGUCGCGCGAGAAGCGCAACGAGGCUCUGAGCGGGCGCUGUCAUGCCGCGGGAUCGCAUAGCCUCCGCGUCACGCGGCGCCGGUCGUGAAGACCAUGCGCACAUCCGCCAAGCGACGGAGGGCUCUGCAACUGCCGUGAGGAUGCUGCUGUGUGCCUGGAGAUAGUCGCCGCGUGCGCGGACCCGGAGAAUGCCAAAAAGGUACUCCCUCGGUAAACUAAUAUAAGAGUGUUUAGAUCAUUAUUUUAAUGAUCUAAACACUCUUAUAUAAGUUUGCGGAGGGAGUACUAUAUUUCUUGAUGAAAUCGUUUGAUGCUUGCCAAAUUGAAAUCGGAAAGUGGCACCUUAUUCAUGUAGCAAUUAGAGUAGAUCAAGACUUUGGUCUUUACGUGCUUGCUUGAUCUUCUCUCACUCCGACUUCUCUGUUUCUCGAGGCGACCCCUCCAGCGAAUGUAUUCGCGUGGAGUCUGGACCGGAAUUAAGGAUCGCCGGAUUUGUUGUCUCCGUUGUCGAACGACACCGUCGUCUGUCCGUCGCUUUCUUCUCGUCGUCGUUCUCGCCCAGCGGUUUUGAGCGUGCUGAUAACGUGUUGGAACUAAUCGAGA
rnacentral:rRNA from 1 species